rnacentral:rRNA from 1 species
AGAUGAGUUCUCCCUGAGACUUUAAGUCUCCUGAAGGAACGUUGAAGACGACGACGUUGAUAGGUCGGGUGUGUAAGCGCAGCGAUGCGUUGAGCUAACCGAUACUAAUGAACCGUGAGGCUUAACCUU